UAUGCAUUGAUGAAUAUUUUUUAACCACUUUUGGGAGCUUGUUCGAGCUGUCAUAGAGUGGUUGAAAUUUAUAGCAAAAAAGUGUAUACAAUUUAGACAUUUCCAGAGAAAACCAUUUUGCAACAUAAGUGUCUAAAUUAUAUUCACUAGUGGCUGAAAAAAAACUUGGCAACAAUUAUUUUCCGAAACCGCAGCGGCCAUCAUUCAUCAACUUUUCGCAGAGUGCGCUGAGAACUCCAAGAAAAAGUCAUCAUCGUCGAGUGAGAAUCAGGAAUUGCGGCUUCCAUCGCAAUCAAGUGCCGGAACGAAAAUAAAGUUUUCUUCCGAUUCUGUUUCCGACUUUGGAAACAGGACAUAAUGUGCGGGAUCAGGCCAAAGAGAUGGCCGAUGAUAAUAAGGGCUUCAAACGGCAGCACAACGAUCCGGAUCGAGUUCGCCGGGCAACGGAACGGGAAGGUCGACGAAAGGAUCGCGAAAAGAAAGAAACAUCCGAUUCCGGAUUGUGCGAAGGUUUCCGUGAUCGGACUACACUGCUUUGUACGCAAUUAAGAUAGAUUCCGCCAGGAGCAGCAUGUUCCCAACAUUGAAUCACCAUCAAUGGCAGAAACAACACCACCACACCAGAGUAUCCUCCUGACCAUUGGCGACAUGAACAGCCUCGCGAAUCACAUGAUGGAUUCUGCGUUGAAACCAAGGGGGCCAGCCGGCAGCAGAAGUACGGAGUAUUCCCUGGUCCCCGUGUACAAGGUCACUAAGGCGGUGGACCAAACAGCAACACGAACCAGAAUCAAGAAAUAAACCG